rnacentral:rRNA from 1 species
UACGUAGGUGGCAAGCGUUGUCCGGAUUUACUGGGCGUAAAGAGCGCGCAGGCGGUCGGAUUAGUCGCGUGUGAAAGCCCCCGGCUCAACUGGGGAGGGUCACGCGAUACUGUUCGACUCGAAGGCAGGAGAGGGAAGUGGAAUUCCCGGUGUAGUGGUGAAAUGCGUAGAUAUCGGGAGGAACACCAGUGGCGAAGGCGACUUCCUGGCCUGUUCUUGACGCUGAGGCGCGAAAGCUAGGGUAGCAAGCGGG